rnacentral:rRNA from 1 species
GUUGGGUAGGGGAGCGUUCUGUAAGCCUGUGAAGGUGGCCUGUGAGGGUUGCUGGAGGUAUCAGAAGUGCGAAUGCUGACAUAAGUAACGAUAAAGCGGGUGAAAAGCCCGCUCGCCGGAAGACCAAGGGUUCCUGUCCAACGUUAAUCGGGGCAGGGUGAGUCGACCCCUAAGGCGAGGCCGAAAGGCGUAGUCGAUGGGAAACGGGUUAAUAUUCCCGUACUUGGUGUUACUGCGAAGGGGGGACGGAGAAGGCUAUGUUGGCCGGGCGACGGUUGUCCCGGUUUAAGCGUGUAGGUGUGUGUUCCAGGUAAAUCCGGUUCACUUUAACACUGAGGCGUGACGACGAGGCACUACGGUGCUGAAGCAACAAAUGCCCUGCUUCCAGGAAAAGCCUCUAAGCAUCAGGUAACAUCAAAUCGUACCCCAAACCGACACAGGUGGUCAGGUAGAGAAUACCAAGGCGCUUGAGAGAACUCGGGUGAAGGAACUAGGCAAAAUGGUGCCGUAACUUCGGGAGAAGGCACGCUGACACGUAGGUGAAGUGAUUUACUCAUGGAGCUGAAGUCAGUCGAAGAUACCAGCUGGCUGCAACUGUUUAUUAAAAACACAGCACUGUGCAAACACGAAAGUGGACGUAUACGGUGUGACGCCUGCCCGGUGCCGGAAGGUUAAUUGAUGGGGUCAGCGCAAGCGAAGCUCCUGAUCGAAGCCCCGGUAAACGGCGGCCGUAACUAUAACGGUCCUAAGGUAGCGAAAUUCCUUGUCGGGUAAGUUCCGACCUGCACGAAUGGCGUAAUGAUGGCCAGGCUGUCUCCACCCGAGACUCAGUGAAAUUGAACUCGCUGUGAAGAUGCAGUGUACCCGCGGCAAGACGGAAAGACCCCGUGAACCUUUACUAUAGCUUGACACUGAACAUUGAGCCUUGAUGUGUAGGAUAGGUGGGAGGCUUUGAAGUGUGGACGCCAGUCUGCAUGGAGCCGACCUUGAAAUACCACCCUUUAAUGUUUGAUGUUCUAACGUGGACCCGUUACCCGGGUUG